rnacentral:rRNA from 1 species
AUGGCCAUGAUUUCCCUCCACGUAUUACUCGGCCUUCUCCUCCUCUUGCACGUCGCUCCUCCAAGCUCCUCUGACGAUACUCUCGCGGCUGGUCAGGUGCUCACCGUCGGGGACAAGCUCGUCUCAGCAAACGGCAGGUUCGCGCUCGGCUUCUUCAACUGGUUCCAGGUCCAGCCACCGAGCAACAUUGACAUUAUGAAAAGGCUUGAUGGUACCCGCCAGGGAGAGAAGCAAUUCAGAGCCGAGGUGAGCUCAAUUGGACUGAUCCAACAUAUCAACCUGGUGAAUUGAUUGGUUUCUGCUGCCAAGGAGAUAACAGGUUGCUUGUGUACGAACACAUGUCAAAUGGAUCUCUUGAUUGUCAUAUAUUUAAAAGUGGUGACGUUGUCCUAAAUUGGGAAACAAGGUACCAGAUAGUCCUCGGAAUUGCUAAAGGCUUGUCCUACUUGCAUCAGAGUUGCCGCGAGUGCAUCAUACACUGUGAUAUUAAGCCAGAAAACAUACUUCUCGAUGCAUCACUUUUCCCCAAAAUUGCAGACUUCGGGAUGGCAACAUUUAUUGGAAGGAAUUUUAGCCGAGUCCUUACCACAUUCAGAGGAACAAUAGGUUAUCUUGCCCCGGAGUGGCUUAGUGGAAUUGCUAUCACACCAAAAGUUGAUGUUUACAGCUUUGGCAUGGUAUUGUUCGAGAUCAUAUCAGGAAGGAGAAAUUCUCCUCAAGAAAAUAGUGGCACCAGUGAUCUUGUUGAAUAUUUUCCUAUCCAAGUCAUCAGCAAGCUUCAUGGGGAAGACAUGCAGAGUUUGGUGGAUCCACGGUUACAAGACAUAUUUGAUUUGGAACAAGCUAAAAGGGUAUGCAAAGUUGCAUUAUGGUGCAUCCAAGAUAAUGAGUCUCAGCGGCCCACAAUGAGUGAAGUGGUUCAGGUUCUUGAGGGUCUCACCGAGAUUGAUCUGCUUCCGAUGCCAAGACUACUUGCAGCUAUAACUGAACACCCUAAUGGAACUGAAACUUCAGUGUAA